rnacentral:rRNA from 1 species
GGGCGGGACACGUGUUAUCCUGUCUGAAUAUGGGGGGACCAUCCUCCAAGGCUAAAUACUCCUGACUGACCGAUAGUGAACCAGUACCGUGAGGGAAAGGCGAAAGAACCCUGUGAGGGAGUGAAAUAGAACCUGAAACCGUGUACGUACAAGCAGUAGGAGCACCUUCGUGGUGUGACUGCGUACCUUUUGUAUAAUGGGUCAGCGACUUAUAUUCAGUGGCAAGGUUAACCAUCUAGGGGAGCCGUAGGGAAACCGAGUCUUAACUGGGCGUCAUAGUCUCUGGAUAUAGACCCGAAACCGAGUGAUCUAGCCAUGGGCAGGUUGAAGGUUGAGUAACAUCAACAUGGAGGACCGAACCGACUAAUGUUGAAAAUUAGCGGAUGACUUGAUGGCUAGGGGUGAAAGGCCAAUCAAACUCGGAGAUAGCUGGUUCUCCCCGAAAGCUAUUUAGGUAGCGCCUCGACGAAUACUACUGGGGUAGAGCACUGUUAAGCUAGGGGGUCAUCCCGACUUACCAACCCUUUGCAAACUCCGAAUACCAGUAAGUACUAUCCGGGAGACACACGGCGGGUGCUAACGUCCGUCGUGGAGAGGGAAACAACCCAGACCGCCAGCUAAGGUCCCAAAUUACAGCUAAGUGGGAAACGAUGUGGGAAGGCUUAGACAGCUAGGAUGUUGGCUUAGAAGCAGCCAUCAUUUAAAGAAAGCGUAAUAGCUCACUAGUCGAGUCGGCCUGCGCGGAAGAUGUAACGGGGCUAAGUUGUAAACCGAAGCUGCGGCAAUGUUCUAUGAACAUUGGGUA